rfam:Pseudomonas stutzeri strain 28a24, complete genome.
GAGGGUGGCUGUCGGCAGGCACGGUCACUCCUUUUACUAACACGGGACAUGUCCCGGCCUGUUCACAGAAGGAGCCCAUCAUGGCACUUAGCGUUGAAGAAAAAGUCCAGAUCGUUAACGAGUACAAGCAAGCUGAA